AUGGGCCUUGAGAAGAAAAAUGAUAUGAAAAGCGUGAAGAAAUCUCUUAACUUUAUCUUGUGCAUGGAAUUUUCACCCAACAUUUGUCUUUAAUGAUCUUUGAGCUGGAAUUGAGUCAAUUGACAAAUGAUUUCCACCAAGGCUAACCUAGUGGACAGAAAUGAACCAAAAUUGCCAAUUAUUCCCUUUUAUAAUUAUAAAGAUAAUGUUUAAUAAUUUUCAAAUAUAGUUUUUGUUCAUCUGCAAUGAUUCAAUUUUUUCAUUUUGGCAAACCAAAUGGCCUCACAGCUCAUUCAACCAACAGUGACCAAAGGAAGGGAUGAAGUUUAUGUUGCAGCAGUGCCUCUAAGAGCAACAAAAGGAGAUGCCCAGCUGCUUACAUCUGCUGCUUAUUCUCUCAAUCUCUGGAAUUUGCUGCAUCUCAUGGUUAUUAUCAAACCCUCUUCACCACCACCUGAUUGUCAGGCCAUGGUUUUCGAUUUUCAACCUAAAGAUCCUGAAAACAUAUAUGUAGCCCUUGCAGUUCUAUCUGGGAAAGCAAUAUCCGGUAAGCCUAGCUACGUACAUCAUCUACUACAUCUUUGAUGUUGCUCAAGAAAGCAUAGUUCAUCGCUAAUUGACAUGCAUUAACUAGCCUGUAUUUUUCUUUUAGGAGUUGUUCUUACGAGGAAGUUGUCGAAACUGCCGAGAAGCAAAUGCUGGUACGUUGGUUCUCCCAAAGGAUCAGGUGCCAUUGAUAUGGCACUUGAAUUCAACAAAGUAUGGGAAACUAAUCUUAGAGUUGGCCAUCAUGAUAUCGCUUGGUCGAGUACCUGAUCGAUGAAGAACAUAUAUUGGAGCGUUUGGAAGGAAAACAGAAACAUUGAAUGGGUGGUGUGCGCAUUAGGGUAACUAAUCUCUCCCCUAUAUUGUCAUUUGGAUUGAGUGUUUGAGCAAAUAUUUCUUUUUCUUCUUUUAAUGUAAAUAUUUAAGACUUUUAAUAUAAAUGUUUCUUUAACAUUAA